AGUGGGAACACACGGCCGCAAAUCUGACAUCGCCGUCCGCUUGGGCGGCUUGGGAUUGCGGAAGUGU
ncrna:unclassified sequences S15-Halobacteria ribosomal protein leader